GACAGAGGAUGCAAGCGUUAUCCGGAAUGAUUGGGCGUAAAGCGUCUGUAGGUGGCUUUUUAAGUCCGCCGUCAAAUCCCAGGGCUCAACCCUGGACAGGCGGUGGAAACUACCAAGCUGGAGUACGGUAGGGGCAGAGGGAAUUUCCGGUGGAGCGGUGAAAUGCGUAGAGAUUGGAAAGAACACCGAUGGCGAAGGCACUUUACUGGGCUAUUACUAACACUCAGAGACGAAAAGCUAGGGUAGCAAAUGGGAUUAGAUACCUG
rnacentral:rRNA from 1 species